ACACAGCUGUGUAUUAUUGUGCCAGAGAAUCACAGUGACAGACGCAAACAGCCUCCCUGUACAAAAACAUCAUCAUAUUCACAUUAGGUAUUUAUGUGCUUCUGAUUGGAUCUGGAGCGUCACAUCACCACUUUCAAGAUGAAGAGUUCACUCUGCUUACUGCUGCUCUCAUUCAGCGUACACCGUUUAAAAUGUCAAAGUAUGGAGUCCAUUGAAAGCACAGUUGAGAAAAAGCCUGGAGAAACUCUGACUCUGUCCUGUAGAGGAUCCGGGUUCAGCUUUAGCUGCUGUAGCAUGCACUGGAUCAGACAACAAGCUGGAAAACCUCUCGUGUGGAUUGGUCGUGUUUAUAGUAAUGGUAACAGCCAUGACUAUGCUGAAGCCUUCAACAGACGAACUGAAAUCACCAGAGAUAAUUCAAAGAAUAUGGUAUAUCUGAAACUGUCGGGCCUGACAACAGAAGACUCAGCCACAUAUUACUGCGCAAAACAAACACAGUGACACAAAGUUCUUGAACGGCUGAACAAAAACCACUUGAGUGUUUCAUCUCUUGUCACUAGAGUUCAACAGGUGGCAGCAGAGAAUAAAAAAUCCACAAAAUACAGUCCAAUGAGAAGAUAUACCAUCUGUCACAUCAUUAUUAAAGCCUAUUAUAUUACUGUUAAAUUUAUAACACA